UACGUAGGGUGCAAGCGUUAAUCGGAAUUACUGGGCGUAAAGCGUGCGCAGGCGGUUGGUUAAGUCUGAUGUGAAAGCCCCGGGCUCAACCUGGGAAUGGCAUUGGAAACUGGUCAGCUGGAGUGUGGCAGAGGGGGGUGGAAUUCCGCGUGUAGCAGUGAAAUGCGUAGAGAUGCGGAGGAACACCGAUGGCGAAGGCAGCCCCCUGGGCCAACACUGACGCUCAGGCACGAAAGCGUGGGGAGCAAACAGG
rnacentral:rRNA from 1 species